AGCGAACGCUGGCGGCAGGCUUAACACAUGCAAGUCGAGCGCCGUAGCAAUACGGAGCGGCAGACGGGUGAGUAACACGUGGGAACGUGCCUUUUGGUUCGGAAUAACUCAGGGAAACUUGAGCUAAUACCGGAUAAGCCCUUCGGGGGAAAGAUUUAUCGCCGAAAGAUCGGCCCGCGUAAGAUUAGCUAGUUGGUGAGGUAAUGGCUCACCAAGGCUACGAUCUUUAGCUGGUCUGAGAGGAUGAUCAGCCACACUGGGACUGAGACACGGCCCAGACUCCUACAGGAGGCAGCAGUGGGGAAUAUUGGACAAUGGGCGCAAGCCUGAUCCAGCCAUGCCGCGUGAGUGAUGAAGGCCUUAGGGUUGUAAAGCUCUUUUAGCAGGGACGAUAAUGACGGUACCUGCAGAAAAAGCCCCGGCCAACUUCGUGCCAGCCGCCGCCGUAA
rnacentral:rRNA from 1 species